AUAAACACACACCCGCACACACACACAAAAAAAAAAAAGGGACGCUGGAAUCUCUGCAACUAAAGCGUCUUUCUGGUCCGUCCAUUUCAAGAUCUUCAUAAUGCCAUAAAUUUACCAUUUUUAUUGACUGUUUUUCUGCAAUAAAAAUUCAUAAUUUAUUGUUCUCGUAUACAAUAAUUUAACUUUCUUGUUACCCGAUUCUUACUUUUCUUCCAAUCAGUCCUUAGUCUUUGCGCCUUUGUUUUAACCUCUUUAAAAAACGAGCCGCCGUUUAUUUUCUAGGGUUUCAAAUUAUCGAAAAAUCUAUGAUUACGUUUCUUUUUCUUUGAUUCUUUGAUUUGGGUUUCUCUUUGAACCUUAGAUUUUAUCGAAAUUGUUCGACCCAUCACAGGUUUCUCAACCGGCUGAGUUUAAUUUCCGGGUUCAAAAUCGUGAAUAGAUCACUCCUUCGAGGGGUUUUAGUGUUUUUGUACCCGUAAUGGACGACGGGGAGCUUGAUUUUUCGAACCAGGAAGUCUUUUCCGGGAAUAACAUGGGUGAUAUCCCAAGCAGUUGUUCAAUGGACAGUUUUUUCGAUGAAUUGCUCAAUGAUUCUCAUGCUUGUACCCAUACACACACUUGUAACCCGCCUGGACCGGAUAACUCUCAUACACACACUUGUUUCCAUGUCCAUACCAAAAUUGUGCCUGCCUCUACUGAAGAUAAGGCUUCAAUCGAUGACACUGCUGGUUCUAGGGAGAAAUCGAAGAAACGACCUCUGGGGAAUCGAGAAGCUGUGAGGAAGUAUAGGGAAAAGGUUAAGGCACGAGCCGCAUCGUUGGAGGAUGAGGUUAUGAGAUUGAGAGCAGUGAACCAGCAGCUGUUGAAGAGAUUGCAGGGUCAAGCUGCAUUGGAGGCUGAGGUUGCAAGGCUUAAGUGUUUGCUCGUGGAUAUCCGAGGGAGAAUAGAAGGGGAGAUCGGUUCUUUUCCAUAUCAGAAAUCGGCAACUGCUGUUAAUGGUAUGAACAUGCCUGGUGCUUAUGUGAUGAAUCCCUGCCAUGUGCAAUGCAAUGAUCAGAUGUAUUGCCUUCAUCCUGGAGUCGAAGGGAGAACGGGAGAAGAUGCGGCGCUGCAUGGACAGGGAUUUAAUGGGUGUGACUUCGACAAUGUUCAGUGUUUGGCAGACUAUAACUCCGGAGCAAAGGAGCUUUCUACAGGUGGGGUUGGAAGUGGCGGGUCCAACGGCAAUUCUUCUGGCACUAAAAGGAGGAAAGGUGUUCGUCCAGCCACAGCAGGUUGAAAAACUGUCAAGUAUCAUCCAGAGUCUGCGGAGUACAAGAUUCGUCUUCCAUCAAGCAGUUUUCUUGGGAUGCAGCACUUUUUUCCCUCAGAAUUAGGGAAGAUGGAAUAUCUUUGAUGAUGUUUCGCUACUGUGAGCCCUUAUCGGGUGAGUUACGAGUUUCAGUCACUGUUAGAUGUAACAUGUCAUUCAUAUGGGAGGCUGCAGGUUAGCUUGCAUAUACCUUUCAGCCAUUCGUAUUCGGCUAUUCCAGUUUUGCAUGGCAUUGACAGGAAUAUUGCUUUUGCCAUAAGUAUUCUGUUUAGGAAGGGUAUGAGUUGCAGUCCCGAGGGAAACGCCUCAUCAUUGUCCGAUGAAAACUUACCGAUAAUUGUAAAAGAUGGCGUAGUCGAGCAUUGCAGGUGUUUCUUUUUGUUUCAUGGACUGAUGAUAAUCCCGGAGAGUAGUCGGCUUCUUAGCUUUCUUGGAGCUUACGAGUUACAAUUGAAACAAAAAUGGGGGAAAAGAGAAAAAGUGUGGCAUUCUGAUAUAUAUAUAUAUAAAGUGGUUGGAUUUUGAGGAUUCAAUGAACUAUUAGAUCUUGAAUUCCCUUUAUAAGUCCUAAUCCUUGACCCGAACUUAAAAUGAAUAUCGUUAAACUUGAAAUGAUUUGUAGAUGAAAAAAUCUGAAUAUCUUGGGUCGCUUGAAUGAAUGAAUCGUAAACAAAUGUGGGAAACACUGGUUUGCAAGGCUUUUCAGCUCCCAUUCUUCUCUUGUGUUUAA